rnacentral:rRNA from 1 species
CAACCUGGUUGAUCCUGCCAGUUAGUCAUAUGCUUGUCUUAAAGAUUAAGCCAUGCAUGUCUAAGUAUAAACUAAUUUAUACGGUAAAACUGCGAAUGGCUCAUUAAAUCAGUUAUAGUUUAUUUGAUAGUAUCACACUACAUGGAUAACCGUAGUAAUUCUAGAGCUAAUACAUGCGUAAAGUCCCGACUUC